rnacentral:rRNA from 1 species
GACGAACGCUGGCGGCGUGCUUAACACAUGCAAGUCGAACGGAAAGGCCCUGCUUUUGUGGGGUGCUCGAGUGGCGAACGGGUGAGUAACACGUGAGUAACCUGCCCUUGACUUUGGGAUAACUUCAGGAAACUGGGGCUAAUACCGGAUAGGAGCUCCUGCUGCAUGGUGGGGGUUGGAAAGUUUCGGCGGUUGGGGAUGGACUCGCGGCUUAUCAGCUUGCUGGUGGGGUAGUGGCUUACCAAGGCUUUGACGGGUAGCCGGCCUGAGAGGGUGACCGGCCACAUUGGGACUGAGAUACGGCCCAGACUCCUACGGGAGGCAGCAGUGGGGAAUAUUGCACAAUGGGCGGAAGCCUGAUGCAGCAACGCCGCGUGCGGGAUGACGGCCUUCGGGUUGUAAACCGCUUUCGCCUGUGACGAAGCGUGAGUGACGGUAAUGGGUAAAGAAGCACCGGCUAACUACGUGCCAGCAGCCGCGGUGAUACGUAGGGUGCGAGCGUUGUCCGGAUUUAUUGGGCGUAAAGGGCUCGUAGGUGGUUGAUCGCGUCGGAAGUGUAAUCUUGGGGCUUAACCCUGAGCGUGCUUUCGAUACGGGUUGACUUGAGGAAGGUAGGGGAGAAUGGAAUUCCUGGUGGAGCGGUGGAAUGCGCAGAUAUCAGGAGGAACACCAGUGGCGAAGGCGGUUCUCUGGGCCUUUCCUGACGCUGAGGAGCGAAAGCGUGGGGAGCGAACAGGCUUAGAUACCCUGGUAGUCCACGCUGUAAACGGUGGGUACUAGGUGUGGGGUCCAUUCCACGGGUUCCGUGCCGUAGCUAACGCUUUAAGUACCCCGCCUGGGGAGUACGGCCGCAAGGCUAAAACUCAAAGGAAUUGACGGGGCCCCGCACAAGCGGCGGAGCAUGCGGAUUAACUCGAUGCAACGCGUAGAACCUUACCUGGGUUUGACAUGGAUCGGGAGUGCUCAGAGAUGGGUGUGCCUCUUUUGGGGUCGGUUCACAGGUGGUGCAUGGCUGUCGUCAGCUCGUGUCGUGAGAUGUUGGGUUAAGUCCCGCAACGAGCGCAACCCUUGUUCACUGUUGCCAGCACGUUAUGGUGGGGACUCAGUGGAGACCGCCGGGGUCAACUCGGAGGAAGGUGGGGAUGACGUCAAGUCAUCAUGCCCCUUAUGUCCAGGGCUUCACGCAUGCUACAAUGGCUGGUACAGAGAGUGGCGAGCCUGUGAGGGUGAGCGAAUCUCGGAAAGCCGGUCUCAGUUCGGAUUGGGGUCUGCAACUCGACCUCAUGAAGUCGGAGUCGCUAGUAAUCGCAGAUCAGCAACGCUGCGGUGAAUACGUUCCCGGGGCU